AACCACCCCAAUCUGUCCUGUGGCCCUAACCGGAGAGCAGUGCACUUACAGCAGGUGGGCCGAGCAAAAGUCCUGAGGCGCUUCCGCAAGCUGGCUGAGCCUCCACUGGAAACUCCAGCCCUGUCCACCAGCAGGACCGACCCAACCCGUCCCUACUUUGUGGCUCCCCAAAACCAACAGGUCUGCCUUACCUGUGGCCUCGACCCCACAACAACAUUUUUUAAAAAGAAAGGGAGGUUCGAGACAUUG